UGGGAGAUUAGAUUAGAUUAGCGGCGUGCCGGAAAAGCCCCUCGCCUCUCUCUCCCCUAACCAUUCCCCGGUCCCCCGUACCUGAAGAAACAGGUGUGGUGUGGUGUGGUGUGUUGGUGCAGUGCGACUGCGAGCGCGUGGGUUUAGUCAGUCAGAGCUUCGCGGAUUUCGCGGGUGCGUCGUCGUUGGACUCUGAUGGCCGCGGCGCGGCGGCAGGCGGCGGUGCUGGCGCUGGCGCUGGUGGUGGUGAUGGGCGCGGGGUGGGCGCCGGGCCCCCGCGGAUGCGCCGCGCAGGGGGAGGCGGUGGUGGUGGCCAGCUACGGGGAGGGCCGCCUCUCGCUCAAGCCUUACGACUGGACCUACCUGCGCGUUGAGUUCCCGCCGUCGUUCUCUUCUGUCACCAUGGAUUUCGCUGCUGACAUAGACCUUCAUAGGGAGCACUUGAAAGGCAUUCCAAGAAGCGAGCUUGCUAUUAUCUGUUUGAUGAAUUCCAACCCUCCAAUUCCUGAUAUAUCUGAUUCUUAUCUGGACAAUUUAUUAUCAAACUCUCUCCCAGCUGGACCUUUUGGCAACAGCAAUAUAAUUAAUCAGCCAAAUCUGGUGCAAUGCAUACCAUUUCAGAAAAACACAACGGUAGUGCUAACAAAUGACCAGAUAUCUCCUGGGGUAUGGUACAUUGGGUACUUUCAUGGCCUUGGUCCUGCUCGCACGCAAUCAAAGAUGAUUAGCCGAGGAAAAGCACGCGUGGUGAGCACUCGCAUUACUGUAAGAGGAUGCCCCACUUCAGCAUUUUGGGGACCAUACUGCAACCAGACAGUUGACAUGAUUGGUUGUUCUCAACCUUCAUCAAUAGAUAAUAACUCAAGAAAUCUUCUAGAUCUGAAUGUUGAGAGGAGGAACAGUUUGUAUACUAGAAAGCACAAUAGGCGUAUUAAUAUCUUAUCACAGCCGAACCAUUUAAUAGAACAAGAAGUUGCAUCUAACGCCACGGCCUUGGUGAGAAUGGAAAACUCGAUCAGUUGUUCCAUUUCUAAUGACUCCUUAUGCAUCAGACAAGGCGACAUGAAGUUCUACUUCUUGGAUGUAGUCAACCUAGCAUUGCAGUUUGAAAUUACAGCUACAAAUUUUGGAGCUCUAGGGCCAUCCUUGAUUUGCUACCUGCGGUAUAAUGCCUUUCCUCAAAGAGAUCUGCAUGACUAUUCAGGUGAUAUCAGCCAUGAUCCUUUGGUUGUGAAGUCGCCAAAUAUUGGGCGUUGGUAUAUUGCAAUUGAGUCUGUCAACAAAACACAGAUGAAUGUUACAUCAUCACCACCUGUUGUAGACACAACAUGUUUCUCAUUAAAGUGGCAAUUGACUGGAUGCUUGAAUGGAAAAACUGGAACCAAUUGCUCUUGGGAGGCAUAUGGGCUCCAGAGGGUUCCUAAGAGAAGUCCUUCUGUCCCUUUUGAGUCAUAUUAUGUUCCUACUGAUGAAAGAGCAUCACUGGAAGAUAGCCACUUCUACUUGGAACAAUUUUUAAGCAACUCAUCCCAUGAGCAGUUUGCAUGGACAUAUUUCUUUUUGGAUAUUCCUCAAGGUUCAGCCGGUGCACUUAUCCAUGUCCAGCUGAAGUCAGAUAAAGAAUUAAACUAUGAGUUGUACUCGAAAUAUGGUGGCUUGCCAUCUAAUAAUACUUGGGAUUAUUAUGCCAGUAGGACAAGCAGCAGUAACGGUUCAGUAUUUUUUUCAUUACAAAAUUCCACGAAUUCAGACAUGGAUCUAUCGAUUUUUUAUGCUAAAGAGGGAACUUGGUGCUUUGGGGUGAAGCAUCCAAGUGAUACAGCAAAUUCUGAGACAUACAUGUCUGUAUCUCUUCAGGGAUGCCAUAGAAACUGCAAUCAGAAAGGUGUAUGCCAUUCCUCAGUUGAUGAAAGCGGGCUGACUUUCUACAGCUUCUGCACAUGUGAUCGUGAUCAUGGUGGGUUUGAUUGCAGCGAUGAGCUAGUUUCCCCUAAUGGGCACAUUUGGCAGUCUGUUUUUCUAAUCGCAUCAAAUGCUGCAGCUAUUUUACCUGCCUUCUGGGCCCUCCGACGAAAGAAUGGAUCCUUUACACAUCUAGUGGAAUUUCCAGUGCAUUAUACCAUUCAUGUGAUGUUGGCACCUGGUGCAUUCUAUCUUUCCGUGUAUUGCAGCUUCAAAGAGAGCAAUGCAUACUGCUGUGUUUAUCCUCACGGCUCUUUUAGCUGCAACUGGUGCAACAAGAUCUGCAAAUAUUGGAAUCGUUAUUGCCAUUGGUUCUCUUGGCCUGCUUAUGGGGUGGCUAUUGGAGUUCUCUACAGCACGAAGGUUUAUAUGCUGGUCCUCACGAAUUAACCUUAAUAUGCCUCAAAGUUGGCCAAACAUCAGAACUUUGUUCCAGAAUACUCUGGAGAUGUUGAACAAACGCUUCCGUUGGAUAUUUUUACUUUUGGGUUUCAUGACAUUGUCUUUUGCGGCUAUCAGCUGGAAGCUGGAAUCGAAUAGCAACUAUUGGAUUUGGCACAGCAUAUGGCACAUAACCAUUUAUACUUCUUCGUUUUUCUUCCUGUGCUCAAUGCGUGUCAGCACAAGGAACCUCAGUCCAGAGUCAAACUAUGAGCUAUCGAGGCAAGACUCUUUGCCGAGAUCAGAGCCAAGGGAAACCUAGGUAAGGAACUGGGGUCAUCAGAAUGCACCAAGGGAAACCUAGGUAAGGAACUGGGGUCUCCACUUCCUGCUCCUGGUAGCUAGUUGGAUGUUUAUGUCUGUGGUUCCAUGCAAGAACUGGCUGAGUUGGGCUAUGGCUUCGACUCAUUUUGGCAGAGAGGGGAUGUGGUGGAUUCAUUUAAAUAGUAUGGAUGUGCAGGUCUGUUUGUGUGGGUACAUGGUUUAUCUGUUGCCGUCCGGAGCGUAAUAACAUAUGAACAAUCAUAGAAGAGGGAUUUGGGAACCACGUGUGGUCAGUCUCCGCAGCUGCAUCGCAUGAGAACUGUAAAUAGCACGGUGCAGGUAAAACAUCUAUUUGUGGGAUGUUGAUCCAGAACAUUGUUAAACAUGUAAAUGUGUUGUAAAAGUAAUUCGUACGUAUCUUCUUGGAAUUAGCUCAUUGCAUCAUGAGUUGGCACUUGUCGAAGUACAAGUCUCAUAGAGGCUUUGAUGUACCUUGCGAAUAUGAGGGAUGGCUAGUGAUAAGCCAAACCUUAACCCUAAGCUCAUUUGCAUCUGGUCUAGCAAAGCAAAGGCUUCAUCAAGGAUUAGAGGGCAGGAGUGGAGAGACUAAGCUCAUUUGCAUCCUAGUUCUUCACUACAGUUGAGUUGGAGGAUAGAGGAUGGUAUUGAUGCUGAUGCUGAUUUAUUGUGAGAGAAACACUGUUUCAUGGCUGAAAAGUAGUGAAGCCCCUGUUGAUUUGGGAUUUUUGUGUUCCAA